GGGUUAGUGGUCUAGUGGUAUGAUUCACGCUUUGGGUGCGAGAGGUCCGCGGUUCGAUUCCCCGCUAACCCC
rnacentral:tRNA from 1 species